GUCCGGAGCCGCAGGCACGGAACACAGGCAGCUUUAGGGGCCUGUCGGGUUGGGAGUGCGGGGAGGGGUCUUCUGGGGGAAAGGAGACAUGGCAGGAAUCUUACAUCUAGAACUUGGGGUCAUGACCUGCGGGACGCACCCACUGACGCGGGGAUGGAGAAAAAAGUGAAUGGAGGAACCUCACCUUGGAUGUCCCCAUGGAGCCUUGGAGGGAUGCAGAAGACAGGAUUGGCCAGCGACAGUCAAAGUGGCCGGCACCCCCCUCUACCAGCUCCCCAGUUCCUGGAGGCUGGGGGCCAAAAGAAAGACACAGGCUACUUUGACAACCUGAAAGCGAACUCCAGAAAUAUCACC
rnacentral:lncRNA from 1 species